rnacentral:lncRNA from 10 species
CAAACACAUUCAUGGACUUCUGGCCUUCCAAAAUCACAAAUUUUACUGGUUCGUGAAAGUUCAAGAACCAUAGAGUAACGACAAGAGCUGUGACUUAGAGGUAAAGAAAAUGGGGUUCUAACCUGAGCUUCACUACCUCGGGAAAGCUGCUUAGCCUUUCACAGUCUCAGGGCCCUCAUACAAAAAAGAGACGAUAGCAUCAUCCUUCAUAGAGCCACAUGUGAGGAUUCAUGAAACAUACAUAAAGCAUCUGAGCACUUAAUAAAUGGACGUUAUCAUCAUUGGUAGCUAUCAGCUCUUGGUUUUCUUUCUUUCUUUUCUUUUUCUUUUUUUUUUUUUUUUUUUUUUUUUUUGAGACAGUCACUCUAUCACCCAGCAGUGGCACAAUCUCGACUCACUGCAAUCUCCAUCUCCCAGGUUCAAGCGAUUCUUGUGCCUCAGCCUCCCAAGUACCUGGGAUUACAGGUAUAUGCCAUCAUAUCCAGCUAAUUUUUGUUUGUUUGUUUUUGUUUUUGUUUUUUUUU